AUUAUGCAUUGAAAGAAAACGGUGGAACUGUUAUCCAACAAUAGAAUUAUGAAUAAUUGAUGGAGACAAAAGGACGACGGCGGGUCUGUUGUCCUAGUGGAUUAUGCAUUGAAAAAAAAGAAGGUAGAACUUUGUCCAAUAAUGGAAUUAUGUAUAAUUUGUUAAGAUAAAAGAACGGCGGAGGGACUGUUGAAGUCGGUUAUGCAGCAAUGAAAAAAAGUAGAUAUAGAACAGGACAAUGGUGAGGUAGUUAUCUAAUUGGGUUCUGUUUUAAUGCAUACCAAAAAAUCCCACUACGGAAACAUGGAGAUGGGAGGAGAGGUAUCUUUAUUGGCAGCAGCUUGAAAGCCACCCCAACGCAACAAUAGCUCCAGAGUUCUGACGACAACGUCAGUACCUUCCUAGGCAAAACGACUAAGGCUGAGCAGCGGUCAUCUCAGUACCAGCAAAACACCCAAAUCAAAUGUUUUUGCGAAACGUCGUCAUUGUCUAAUAACAGAUCUACGACAUCCAUCUGUCUAUAAUAAACGACAAUUUCAUUCUCGGCCCGUCUUUGAGUUAACUGCCUACCAACGUUUAUCUUCGAAGACGUAUCGUUGCUUUAUGUUGCAAGGCGAAGAAACAAGUUUUCGUCGUGUCGAAAUGACGCUCUUCUGCGUUUGUUAAAUACUUCAUAGGAAAGUUGUUUACGAAGAAAUUAUGAAAACGGCAUUUUUCUCUUCGCAAUCGAUUAAAUAAAAUUGUCGAUAAAAUGCCACGUUUGUCUCGCACGAUUUUUGUUCAGUGAAAUGACCAGGUUGAAGUACAUUAUUUCGACCUGGUUAUUUUCAAUCGACCGAGCGCACACAUGCCACUGUCAUUACACUUUCUUUAAAAAGGUGUUAAGGGACGUUUUAUCCUCGAAUAAAUCGUAACGUCGCUUUGUUCUAUUGUAAAUCAAGUGAGAAUAUGGAAAAAGUGGUAAUAGCUCUUCAUCUUCGUUAUCGAUUAAUUGUAAUCCUCAUGCCACGUUUGUCCUGCACAAUUUUUUGUUCAGUGAAAUGACCAGGUUGGAGUACAUUAUUUCGACCUGGUUAUUUUCAAUGGAACAAUCGCACACAUGCCAGCACAUUAAACUUUGUUUUAAAUGGUGUUUAACGACGUUUUAUCGUUGAGUAAAUCGUAUCGUUGCCUUGUUGAGUUGCAAAUCGAGUGAGAAAAAGGAUAGUAAAAAUAAAUACGUUUUCGUAAUAAUCCAACCAACUCUCUUUCGCGUUUGUCGAAAAAUACUUCAGAGGAAAAAUGUUUACGAAAAAAAUAUGAAAACGGCUUUUUGUCGUCGUAAUGGGUUAAAUGUAAUUAUUGUCGAUAAACGCCACCCCCGUUUUGCACAAGUUUUUGUCAAGUGAAAUGACCAGGUUGAAGUGCAUUAAUUCGACCUAGUUAUUUUCAAUCGACCGAGUGCACACAUGCCACUGUCAUUACACUUUCUUUAAAAAGGUGUUAAGGGACGUUUUAUCCUCGAAUAAAUCGUAACGUCGCUUUGUUCUAUUGUAAAUCAAGUGAGAAUAUGGAAAAAGUGGUAAUAGCUCUUCAUCUUCGUUAUCGAUUAAUUGUAAUCCUUGUCAAUAAAUGCCACGUUUGUCCUGCAGAAUUUUUUGUUCUGUGAAAUGACCAGGUUGGAGUACUUUAUUUCGACCUGGUUAUUCUCAAUGGAACGAUCGCACACAUGCCAGCACAUUAAACUUUGUUUUAAAUGGUGUUUAACGACGUUUUAUCGUUGAGUAAAUCGUAUCGUUGCCUUGUUGAGUUGCAAAUCGAGUGAGAAAAAGGAUAGUAAAAAUAAAUACGUUUUCGUAAUAAUCUAACCAACUCUCUUUCGCGUUUGUCUAAAAAUACUUCAGAGGAAAAAUGUUUACGAAAAAAAUAUGAAAACGGCUUUUCGUCUUCGUAAUGGGUUAAAUGUAAUUAUUAUCGAUAAACGCCACCCCCGUUUUGCACAAGUUUUUGUCAAGUAAAAUGACCAGGUUGAAGUGCAUUAUUUCGACCUAGUUAUUUUCAAUCGACCGAGUGCACACAUGCCACUGCCAUUAAACUUUGUUUAAAAUCUGUUCAAGGACGUUUAUCCUCGAGUAAAUGGUAUCGUUUUUGGUUUAUUUUUGUAUUGUAAAUCGAGUGAAAAUAUGAAAAAAUAAUAGCUUUUCGUCUUCGUAAUGAUUAAAUGUAGUUCCUGUCGAGAAACGCCACGUUUCGACGGCAGGUUUUUUGUCAAUUGAAAUGACCAGGUUGAAGUACAUUAUUUCGACCUGGUUAUUUUCAAUCGAGCGAUCACACACAUGCCACCACAUUAAACUUUGUUUUAAAUGGUGUUUAGCUAUGUUUUAUCCUCGAGUAAAUCGUAUUGUUGCUUUGUUGCAUUGUCGAGUGAGUUUAUAAAAAAAAAUGGUAAAAGCUCUUCGUCUCCGUAAUCGAUUUAAUGUAGGUCUUGUCGAUAAACGGCACGUUUGUUCGAGUGAGAAAAAGGAUAGUAAAAAUAAAUACGUUUUCGUAAUAAUCGAACCAACUCUCUUUCGCGUUUGUCUAAAAAUACUUCAGAGGAAAAAUGUUUACGAAAAAAAUAUGAAAACGGCUUUUCGUCUUCGUAAUGGGUUAAAUGUAAUUAUUGUCGAUAAACGCCACCCCCGUUUUGCACAAGUUUUUGUCAAGUGAAAUGACCAGGUUGAAGUGCAUUGUUUCGACCUAGUUAUUUUCAAUCGACCGGGUGCACACAUGCCACUGUCAUUACACUUUCUUUAAAAAAGUGUUAAGUGACGUUUUAUCCUCGAAUAAAUCGUAUCGUUGCUUUGUUGCAUUGUCGAGUGAGUUUAUAAAAAAAUGGUAAAAGCUCUUCGUCUCCGUAAUCGAUUUCAUGUAGGUCUUGUCGAUAAACGCCACGUUUGUUCUGCAGGAUCUUUUUGUCAACGAAAUGACCAGGUUGAAGUACAUUAUUUCGACCUGGUUAUUUUCAAUCGAGCGAUCACAUAUAUGCCACCAUCAUUAAACUUUAUUUAUGAAGGUUUUAGCGACGUUGGUUUUAUCCUGGAGUAAAUCGUAUCGUUGCUUUGUUGUGUUGCAAAUCGAGCGAGAAAAAGGGUAAUAAAAAUAAACACGUUUUCGUAAUCAUCAAACAACUCUCUUUCGCGUUUUUCGACAAAUACUUCAAAGGGAAGUUGUUUACGAACAAAAAAUAUGAAAAAGGCUUUCGUCUUCGCAAUGGGUUAAAUUUAAUUAUAGUCGAUAAACGUCACCUCCGUUUUGCACAAGUUUUUGUCAAGUGAAAUGACCAGGUUGAAGUACAUUAUUUCGACUUUCAAUCGACCGAGCGCACACAUGCCACUUUCUUUAACUUUGUUUAUAAAGGUGUUUAGCGACGUCGGUUUUAUCCUCGAGUAAAUAGUAUCGUUGCUUUGUUGCAAAUCGAGUGAGAAAAAGGGUAAUAAAAAUAAACAUGUUUUGUAAUAAACGAAACGACACUCUUUCGCGUUUGUUUAUAAAUGCUGCAAAGGAAAGUUGUUUACGAAGAAAUUAUGAAACUGUUUUUGUCGUCAUUUUGUUUUGAUGCACAUUGUUUUGACCUUGUCAUUGUCCGUGCAACGAGUGUACAUACCUGUAACCAUCCUAUGAAUCUGCAGAAAAAGUAAUUCGGUUGCAUCAUAUUCGAAAAAAAAAACCCGGUAUCGUCAAAUUAUCUCUCUACACAAUUGAAAACAGAAAAAGGAAAGGAAAUACAUGCUGCCUACGUUAUCCCCCAAACGACACUUUUUCGUUCUUGUUAAUAAAAAGAAAUAGGCCUGUCAAUUUCGUUCUUGAAAACGAUUGGUUUAAUUUCAUCAUCGUCUACAGACGGCUACUUCAUUCUGCACGUUGUUUGUUCAGUGGAAUGUCCAAGAUAAAAAUGAUUGUUUUCAUUUUGUGAUGUUAAAUCAAUCCUCGGGUAAUUCUAUAUUUGUUUUCUAGUAAAAUAUCAAACUGCCCACUGCAUGAGUUACGAUUUGUAGAUUUGCACAGCAUAUUUCAUCAAACAAUGACGCAGUUUAUAAUUUGUUGUCACGUGUCAUAUUCCAUGUGACCUUGCUGUUAAACAGCUGGCCCAAAUCCGAACUGCAAAGAUCGGCAACUUUGGGUCAUUGCAUAUUUCUUUCCAUAAAAGUAAUAUUUUAAAUCCCAUGAGCUUUUUUAAUCGUCGAUUUGCACCAUACUUAUCAAAUAAUCAUGAAGGUAUAAUUUUUUUGUCACGCGUUAGUUUGUAUCCCAUGUAAAAUUACUGUAAAAGGGGUCUGAACCAAAGUCUAAACCAUAAAGAUCGCCACAAUAGGGCCAUUGUGUAUUUUCCAGAAAAGUGAAAUGUACAUUACUGCGAGAUCUCGCUCAGUCAACUCGACAGUUUUCUUCAAAUUUUCUCGAGGAUUAUAAUUUGUUGUUAAAUGUGAGGCUGUGUCCCAUGUAAACAUGCUGUUGUACAUACAGCAUGAAUGUAAGUCUGGAUUAGCAAACAUGGAUACAUUAGGGUUAUUGUCUAUUUUUGUACUGAAAAGUAAAACCUCAAUUGCCCGUCGAUGGGCAAAUGGUUCAUAAAAUAUACUUAGGUUGUUAUCCCAUGAUCGCUGAAUAGGCCGAACCGAUCUGACCGUAUUAAAGUCCGAACUGCAGAAUCGGCAAACUCAGGUAAUCGUGUUUUGUUUUCCAGAAAAUGAAAACAUCUACUGUGAGUUUAUUAUCGGUCGAUUGACAUGACAUUGAUCAUCAAAUACUUUUGCAGAUUAUAUGUUUUUUAUACAUGUAUACACUAUAAGGUUGUUUCCAUGGAAUGUGGCGUGUAACUGACCCGAACGUAAGUCCGAACAGAAUCGGCAACUUAGGAUCAUUGUGUAGUUUUUCCCCAAAGUUACCUUUUUAUUACUGUGAGAUUUUGAUCGAUCGAUUGGCAUUAAUCGUCAAAUAUUCUCUUUUGGAUUUAAAUUGUCGCAUGUAAUUUUUAUCUGAGCAGAACGUAAGUCCGACCUGCAAAGGUGGGCAAAGUAGGGUCAUGGUUUUGUUUUCCAGUAAAGUAAAUUUUUAAUAACUGUGAGUUUAUGAUCGACUGUUACGAAAUAUUUUUAUCAAAUAUUCUCGUGACUUGAAAUUUGUAACAUGCUAGGUUGUAUCCAAUGUAAAAUUAUUGUAACACGAAUCUGAAAAAAAUAUGCCUGAACUGGAAAGAUUGGCACAUUGGGGUCAUUGUGUAUUUUUUACCAGAAAAGUAACAUUUUACUACUGUAACAUUUCGAUCGGUCUACGUGAAAGUUUUCUUCAAAUAUUUCCGCAGAUUGUAAUGGUUGCCAUGCACGUGUAAGGUUGUAUCCUAUGUAAACAUGUUGUAAGACAGUUCCAAUCAUAUGUCCGAACUGCAAAGAUCGGCAAAUUAGGGUUAUGUUGUAUUUUUCCAGAAAAGUAAAACUGUUACUGUUUUUGAUUGGUUAAUUGGCAUAUGUUACUCAAGUAUUCUCAUGAACUACAUGUAUCAUUUGUUUUCAGGUGAUUACUGAAUACCAGAUCUGAACGAAAGUCCGAUUACCAAAGAUCGGAAGAGUAGGGCCAUUGUGUUCUCCAGAAGCUUAAAACAUCUACGAUGAAAUAUACAAUCAAGCGAUUACAGUGACGUUUUAUGGCUAUGAAUUUGUUGACAGUUUGGGGUUGUAGCCCAUGUAAAAAAGCUGUGUAACAGUCCUGAACAUAAGCCCGACCUAUAAAGGUUGGCACAAUAGGUUCAUAUUUUUCCUGGGAAGUUAGGCUUCGGUUACUGUAUCAGUCGAUGGACGCAUGGCAUUUUUUGUCUGUCUUCUCACGGAUUAUAAAUUUUCUGUCAUGUGCCCGAUUCUAUCCCAAGUAAAAAGUGCUACAGCUCCUAACACUACACGGAAGCCCAACAUCCGAAGAACGACUAACUAGCAUUUUGUAUAUUUGUUUGUUUGUUUGUUUGUUUUUGGUAAAGUAAUGCUCUAAUUACAUGGAUGUUCUUUAUAAACGGCCCGAACGUACGUUCAGUCCGACCUGAAGUGAUUGGCAAAUCAUAUUUUGAAAUAGGCAAGUAUGAAGCAUCAGUUUCUGGGAAUUAACGAUUGUCUAACUGAUGUAGGACACUCUUGCAUAACCGAAUUUGUCACUCUUACAAGGUAAAACUGUUGUACAUGCACAACUGUCCUGAACGCAAGUCCGACCAGCAAAGAUCGGCAAAUUAGGGUCAUUUUUUCCAGGAAUGUGAAGCUUCAGUUACAGCGAAUUUACAAUCAGUGGAUUGAUUUGUGACAUUCUUCACCCAACAUUUUUGUGGACUUAAUUCGUUGGGUACGUAAGGAAGCGCAGCAGGCCUAGUUCAACCUGUCUCGUUACGAUUGGCCCCGCCAACCGUAGUUCACUGUCAUCUGAUGAUGCUAAAGUGGUCAUCUAUGUGGAUAAAAUCUCUGCCCAAUUCCCUGCUGUGAUUCAUGUUCAGGACGCUUUCAAUAGUGCGCUGCUGCGUUUCUAAAACGUUGUAUAUGCUCAAUGAGGCAACAGAUCUUGCGGAGGUAGAUCGUUUGCUGCCUGAAAUUCAAACGCUUCCUUCUCUGCUGGAGAAUUAAGACUAUUAAGGAAUCCUAGAUUUAGCAUUAUUAUUCAACAUGCAUGUUGUAGUUAGGCUUAGUACUGUUUACUUUAGCAAGGCCUACUAGAAAAAAUGUAGAAUCAGUUAGGCAUAGAUGAACAGGUAGGGCUAGACCCCGAGGUAAUGUGUAAGACUUGUGCUGGUGAUGAAUGAUAGUUGCAUAUAUUUAUAUUGAAUCUAGCCUGCCUUGGCUAGUGUUUUUCUUUUCAUGUCAACAGCCAGACUGUACCCUACCAGGCAAAGACUACUUAGCGCCCACGUAGCCUACUGAGGGAAGAGGAUUGGCAAUGAGGACAGAUUUCUGUAAUGGUGCUGACCAAUUAGCGCAAAGGAGAUCUUGAUGGUGACUUUGACCCUGUUUGAAAUGUCCACCUUUUGGAAUUCUGGUGCUGAGUCUCCCAAAUCACAACUUGGAAAUUUUCAUUUUGCUCACUUUUAUCCAGUCUUUUCCUUUUUGCAAAAUGCAGAGCGUGGGAUGCUUCGAGAGAGUUUUCCGACACAAACGGGACGUGGAUGACUGGACUUAUAGGCGCCAAAUUCCUCUUGCUGUAACAUCAUACACUGGAUGCUGUUGGCCAUCAGCAUUCUCCCCAAGAACAUCAAAGAAGGCAGUUGAUCAGGCUACUUGAGAUGGUUUACCACUUCAUAAUUGGCGGGACGUGGAUCACUGGACCAGGAGCAGAAUCGACCUUGCUGCACGCCACACAGCGCAUAGCUGUCAACCGGACUUGCUUAUCACCACCAGAACUUUCCUGUCAGCCCAUCAAGGUUCCUUACGACCGACCAGACGACGCCAGUGGCCGAUCGUCGAUCAACAUUGGGAGCUGCUGCUACUCUUCCCACUCAACUUGGACACGUUCUCUCAUAAUUCCAAAGGGUGAAUAUUCACUGCAUAUUCGUGAAUAUUCACCCUAAUUGAAACUAAGGCAAAGACAAAUUGGAGUGUAUUUCCUCCCUCCGAUUGAUUAAAAUGACACUCGAGUCUCCCAAGAGUGGCUCUUUUUAGAACUUUUUUCAUCAAAAUUCAGAGUGUUCUUUUCUCACUCUAAAAAGUCUUGUCCUUAUUUUCAGUCUUUGGAAAUAUAGAAGUUGGUUCGACGUGGACGUUUUUUCAACAAACGUCUCGUUUGCAUUCAAACGUUUAUACACAUUUUUAUCAAUUUUGUAAAUUAAAUUGCAAUUUCAACCUUCCAAUUAUUGGCAACAGUUCUUUCCUAUUACCUAUAAGCCAAUUUUUAUACAUCCACUUCAUAUAAAUGGAAAACAUUCAAGCAAACCAAAAGCUGUUACUAAUAAAAAACGAAUGUUGCCAAAUAUGAGUGGUAGAAUAUUAUUGAAGCUUCAGUCAAAAUGUGUAUAAACGUUCGUCCAGAACUGCAUCUACUUUUGUUCGUAAGGUUGAAAAUUCCAUGCUAAUGGAAAAGGUAUCUAAAACUUUUUCUGUUUACACAUUUAUGUACUAUGUGCAGCCUAGGAAGAAACUCGAUGGAACCAUUCAUUCGAGCUGUUAUUUGGUGCGCAGGGAAUAUUAUUUUGUUCCCAGGAAUUCCAUAUUUCUGUGCUCGGAUUACUCAGUAGUUUGCACAACUAGGUAAUUCGUUCCCAAGAAUUACUGCUUCUAGGAGCAAAUGACCCUUGUAAUUUGUUCGAACAUUACAGUAAUUUGUUUGGAAUAUUUACUGAUUUGUUUGUACGAAUUACUCCGGUAAUUCGUUUGUAAAACUCGGUACUUUUCCAUGGAUUACUUCGUCGAUCGCACAAAUGACUAAUUUACGUGCAUGGAUUACGGUAAUUCUUUAGCAAAAAUUGGUGAUUCGUCUCAACGAAUUACGUCAAAAAUUGUUAAUUCGUAGUCACAAAUUAAUAAUUAGUUCACAAAAAUUACAAAUUUGUUUGCAUGAAUUACUCUGGUAAUUCCUCUGCACAAAGUAGUAAUUCAAGAAUUUUUCAUUCGUUUGCAAGAAUUAAUCAUUCGUGUGCAUGAAUUUCCUUUUUUUCCAAUGAAUCUCUCUUGGUUUUCUCCACAAAUUACUAAUUCACUCGAACGAAUUACUCCAGUAAUCCACUCAAAGAAAUCAGUAAUUUGACCCCAUGAAGACUAAUUCGUGUGCACAAAUGUAUCCUUUGUUCACACAAAUAUCUGAAGUAAUUUGUUCGCAUAAAUUAGUAAUUGGUUUCCACAAAUUACUAAUAUCUUCCAACGAAUUACUCCAAUGAUUCGUUGGCGCAAAUUACUCCUGUACCACAUUAACACACAUUAGUGAUUCUCCACGAAUUGCUAAUUGUUAGCACAAGUUACUAAUUUCUUUGCGCAAAUUGUGGGAGUAAUUCUUUGGGCAAACGAAGUAGUAAUCCGAGUGCACUUAUUUAAUUCUCGGGAAUUGACUAUUGUGCUUGUUACAAACGAAACGACAAAGUGAAUAAAAGUUCAUCAAGUCCCUUCCUGGGUUUUCGCUAUUGCGUAAAUAACAAGGAUUUUGGGCAAAUUGACGCCAGAAUUGGUUUUUGCAGGUUGAAAUCUGUCUGUAACGUCACAAGAAGCAAUAACGGACCAUUUUAUACCAGGCAAGAUAUGGGACGGAGGGGUACCCCCUUACCUGUCCAAUCUCUAUACACACUCUAGACUAUGU